UCUAACUAAUUAAAUAGCAUGCGUAUAAUUGUGGGGAUAUGGCCCAAGAGUUUCUACCAAACACCGUAAAUUGUUUGACUACGCAGGAUAAAGCAGACAUG
rnacentral:ncRNA from 2 species